AGCUGGAGAAACUUCACAGCUCAACCAGAUUUGUUGCGUUACUCAAUGCAUUUGCUAACGAGAUACAAGGAUGUGAUGCGCAAUUAAGAGAUAGUCCAAGCAUGUGGCAGGUUGAAGCUCGCAACACCAGUUUGACUGUACCACCUUCACCAGGAAGGAGUGAGAUUCUUCGAAGGUUGAGUGAUUUGAAGGCUCACCCUUUAAGCCCAAGACUUGCGCCAGAAGACGCCGUAAACUACGACAAGGAGAAAGCCAAAACGAGAGAGGACCUUCACCACAGGCAGGGGACAAGACUACCACUGUCGUCAAACGAUUCUAGCAAGAGUAGCUCCACCUCAGUUAGCAAGGAGUACCCGGUUUUAACCCAGUCGCAAUGCAAGCUCAGUGGGAACGCUCUCGGAGGGAU
rnacentral:lncRNA from 1 species